rnacentral:lncRNA from 1 species
AGAGAAGGACCUGGAGAUCUCGCGGCCUGAAGGUAAAGGACCACCAGUUUCUUGUUUGAUGCCCAAAACAAACACAGAGGAAGAAAAUCCAGCUGUUUCCAGAGCAAUGGAAUCAGGAGUCUGGAGUUGGAAAAGUGCCAGGCGUCACGAGAUUUGUAGCCCGGGCUGAAAUGUCCUGUGCUUGCAUUUUGACCUUUGCCUGGCACCCACGACUGGCCUGCCUUCUCUGCCCCAACUCCUCCUUCUGACUGGUGUCCUUAUGUUUGGAUCUGUGCUAGAAUUGGUUCUGAGACAACAUAAACAGAGCAUGACUCAUGGAUUUGAAGAAGUGUAAGGGUGAAGAACAUGAAGUCAUCAAGGUUAGAAGAAGCGAUGCCAGCGAUGAACACCAGGCUUCACUCACGUUCAAGGAGAGAUGAAUCCAUUCAUUUUAUAAGGUUCACCCAGAAGCAUGGUUGUUGAGUUCUUGAAAAUACAGAGGUCAAAUCAUUUAGGUGUCUAUGUUUCCCCAACAAUACUUUGCUCUGGGGUGGGUAUCACCUGUAGGGUAGUUGUCCUGAUGAAAAGGCCUUAUUGGGCACCAAAAGCUCUGACUGGCAUGCUGGUGGAAGACCCUCAAUAGUAUAGAGAGAGUCAGCCCAGGCCCCUCUGACAUACCGGGUUUCCAUCUUAAGACUCUUUGGAUGCGGGGUCACCCUUCUGAUUCUACUGGCAGUAACUCCAGACCUAUAUCUUGGGAACAUCGGAGAUAAAGUUCAAGGAUGCUUUGUGCUGUGAAAAUAAAAUGACUACUAAGUGGUACCAGGCAAGCAGCCCUGUUGCCUGAUUUUAUGUACAUGACUUAGUGAUAUGGUUAUAAAAUAUGGGCAAAAUAAAGUGAACUGAAUUUAACUGGCAAAACAAGAACAUGAAAUACAUAGCCCACUUCUUGGUUUUCUCCUGGUAAUCUUUCUUACAUAUGAAGACAAAUGAAUUGGUAUAUAAUAUUGUUGUAUUUAUUUAUUGUUGUUUUUAUUUUCAAAUUAAAAAUAGUUUAAUACCCA